UGAGGAAUAUUGGUCAAUGGUCGCUAGACUGAACCAGCCAAGUAGCGUGCGGGAUGAAGGCCCUCCGGGUCGUAAACCGCUUUUAGACGGGGAUAAAGGGCGUACGUGUACGCCGUAUUGCAUGUACCGUCAGAAAAAGGACCGGCUAAUUCCGUGCCAGCAGCCGCGGUAAUACGGAAGGUCCGGGCGUUAUCCGGAUUUAUUGGGUUUAAAGGGAGCGUAGGCGGACUUUCAAGUCAGUGGUAAAAUCGUGUGGCUCAACCAUACCUCGCCAUUGAAACCGGAAGUCUGGAGUGCACACAGGGGUGCCGGAAUUCAUGGUGUAGCGGUGAAAUGCUUAGAUAUCAUGAAGAACUCCGAUCGCGAAGGCAAGUGCCCGGGGUGCAACUGACGCUGAGGCUCGAAGGUGCGGGUAUCGAACAGGAUUAGAUACC
rnacentral:rRNA from 1 species